CUGGUGCACAAUUUGUAAUCGUCGGCUCACGGUUACCUGAAUGCCACUAAGGUCUCCACCAUAGGUUGAUACCGGCGAUCACAACUAUAGGCAAACGGCCUAUAAAAAGAGAGUCACGGGCUCGAAAAAGCUGGGAUGCACAGACUCAACAGUACUGAGGGAGUGCAUUAGAUUCCCAGAUUAUAAGAAACUUUCUCUGACGAACCUUGAAUGACAACACAAACUGGAGGCUGGAAGUUCCAGUUAAUUCAAAACAGACUGAUGGUUUCAACUGUGGCAUUUACAUAGUGAUGUUCGCAGAAAACCAUAUUUUGGGGUUGCCAUGUAUCUUUGAAAAGAAGGACGUGCUCAACAAAAGAAAAGAGAUUGCAGCCACUCUUCUUUUAUAUGAAGUGAAUGUUAAAGAGUGCUGUCCUGCAUGUGGUUGGAAACCAGAAGGGGAGGAAAAGUUGAUGCGUUGUGGGAUGUGCGAGUGCUACUUCCACAAGAAGCCGCACUGUGUAGGGGAAGCUCUACACAGUGCAGGAUUGGACACUUUCAUUUGCAAACGAUGCGAAUAUAAUGUGGAAUAAUGCGUACGUUAAGGACUUUAAAAUGUGCGGGAUGUGUUAGUCUAAGAUAGACGACAUUGGAUGUAUUACUUUCCUUUCUUUGUUUACAUGAGACACUUCUAGUCAAAACAUCUAGUCGAGUUAUUUAAUAUUGAAAAAUUGUCAUAUUGUUACUUACUAUGAAUAGUUGCAUGAGUCAAUGUGGACGAGCAAAUUGUUGUCUUUCAGAAAUUUUGAAUGUCAUACGGGAUCAAAAAAAGGUUAACAACUCCCACCUUCGUUAUAUUUUAUUGGUCGAUGCUAAGUAUGAACAAUUUAAAUAGUCCAUGUCGGCAUUUCCAUAUUAGAUGAAACGCAAAUAUAUGAAGUGUUGUUUGCAGAUGUAUUAUUUCUGACUAUAUUGGAAAUUACAAAAAUAAAUAUCAAACACUCGUUUUCAAAUACAAUAUUCUGUGUUUCCGCUUGAACCGAUCACUCAAUCCCAAUUGCGUAUUCGGUAUUGUUAUACGUUAUGCAUUCAUGUAUGCCUCAAAGGGUCUCCCUGUUAGGUAAAGUUUGUAAAUAUAUGUUUCUUGCCCAAACUCUGUUUAACUGGCCACUGAAUAAAAACAAUCUUGUAUGUAUUACUAUGCUUUUUGAAGCCAGUAUAAAGGGCGAUAUAAUUAUUGAAUGUUUUUACUGAUCUUUAUUUUUUUAUCUGGCAUUACUCAUGAUCUGACAGACUAUCGCAAACACAUGCAUAUGGGUAGAUUUCACAUUUAAUUUUCCGAUGUAGCAUAGCCUCCUUCCAAGUUGGUGGAUGGGGGAGUUAUAUAGGACUUACUACGCCUAGUUAUUCUGUCUGUGUUAAACUUAACUUGAGUCGAAUGUAACAUUUAAAUAUGAUGGUAUUUCUAAUAUUUUAAAUUGAGUCGCAUUUAUAAAAUAACAAGACUGGCUUAAAAGCAGAUAUAAAAGACUGAGCAUGGUAGGAGUAUGCUCUUCUGUGGUUGCAUGUGUUAUUCAACUCUAAUUUGGAGGCAUAUAUUAUAAUAAUUGGGUACACACACCAUUGUGAUAAAUGACGAGAGAAGCUUCAGAAAUACCAGCAGAUUUUAUUUUAGUUUUAUUUUGCAAAUAAGUGCAUAUAUUAUAAGCACAGAUUAUUAAUGCAAGCCAUAAAUGUCUAGUCAACUUUGCUUUUAUAUAGAUGUUUUACCGGUAUGUGUUUAACAUAUAUGUGAUGUGUUCUAUAUAUUUGAUGAUGUUUCAGUGAUUAAGAUAAUCAAAUAAGUAGUUUUGAUUCAAUAAAUUGCUUUGAAUUUUUUUUUUAAUUAGAUUACAAAAAAAACAUAUUUGAUUGCUCUUGAAAUAAUGGUGUAUUUAAACAGAGACUCAAGGCUGGUUUUACAAAUAAGGAACAUAAAAAUAUAUUUCUAUUGUUAAAGUAUAAUUGCUUAUACUUGUCAAAUUGUUGCAUAAUGACCGAAUCAAUCGAUGAAAAAAGUUAUGUUUUGAUAUUCUUAUUUUAUUAUUAUGUUGUAUAGUUUGAGCAUUAUGACUGUAUAUUGUUUUGUUUCCAACAGAUAGUUCGGAACAAUGAGCUAAAUCAACUUUAAAAAAUGCUUUAUUUUACUUUCUGUGUUAUAUAUAAUUAUAUAGUGUUGGCCUUAAUUCCUAUUUUAUUCCAAAAAGGAAGUCUUUAAGAAGGCGUUAACAGGAGAGAGAGUAUAUAGAUAUUUUAUUGUAAAAGUUUAAGCCUAAUGACUGUCUUUUGUUUUAUUUCGGAUAGAUAGUUUGGAACCUUAUAAUCUAUAUUUUGAAUGGUUUCUAUUACUUUUGCUGUUGUAUAUAAUUGUGCAGUGUUUGCCUUAAUACUUUCUUUUGUUCCAAAAAGGAAGUAUUAAGUAAGGCGUUUACAGUAGUACAUAUGUAUGGCAGUGUUAUAAUGUAAGUCUAUAUUUUGUUUCGGAUAAAUAGUUUGGAACAGGGUGUUAAUAAUCUAUAUUUUGAAUGGUUUAUAUUAAUUUCUGUGUUGUAAAUAAUUUGAUAGUUUUUGUCUUAAUACUUUUUUGUUUUAAAUAGGAAGUCUCUAAUGCGCUAACAGUAGCAUAUAAAUAUGGUGUUUGUAUGAAAAGCAAAAACACGUACUACAUUUUAGCUGUAAAUGUUAUGAUUUAA